rnacentral:lncRNA from 1 species
GAGGAAUAAAAUUUUUUUUCCCAUUCAUUCAUUCCCUGAAUCGCAAUCUUUACAAUUCUUCUUUAUACUAGAAUUAUAUUAUAUGAUUUAUUUAGUCCGAGUAGAUAUGUGUAUAAAUAUACAAUUCAUUCUUUCAAACAUAUCCCCUUUUUAGAACAAAUAAUCUUCAUCUAUCGAAUAAUUCAACAAUAUACACAUCUGUGAUUUACACAUGAAAAUCUCAUCAAAUGAUUCAACACAAUCUCAACUAAAUCACUAGUCUUCUUUUCAUGCGCUCCUAAUCACGAUAGAUCGCAUCAUAACUUUAACCUGCAAAUUAAGCAAGAUUGAGCACAACGGCCCAGCAAGUCUAACAGUCUAUCAUGCAUCACGUAGCACAUAAGUUUCACAUUCAGUUCAUGCAUUUAUAUUCUUGGUGUUCAAGCAUAUUACCAAUACAUUAUCACAUUUAUGUCCUGCUGGUAGCAACAUACAUAUCAUAGCAUACUACACAUGUCAUGUACCUGUCAUUCAUUACACAUAUAUAUUGAGUUCUCCGACUUAGUUCAAUAAUUAGUCAUAAUUUGACCUUCAUCAUUCACAAAGCAAAUAAUGCAGUUCAUAUGUAUUACAUACUUAUAAACAUAAAUCAUGCUAACAGUUAUCUAUAGCAAUUAUAAGUCCACAUAAAUAAACUAAGAAACCUGCCUUGUUUGUAGUCAAUUGUUAGGAUUUUAGCUUUAUUUGAAGAGUUCUCACAAAAUCCUACACAGUUAUUUAUAUUAACAAGCACGUUAAUCACAUAGCUAAGUUAUAUAGUUUGUAAGCUCACAUAUCACAUAGUUUCAAUGAUCAUGGUUGUAGUUAAAUUCUUAUUUUUGAUACAUUUUUCAAAUAUCUCAUUCAUGCUUUCACAAUAGAUAUUUUUCACUUUGAUGGGGUUCGACAUGCUUACAACAAGUAAUAGGAAUCAUAUUACAGUUAUUAUUUGCAUUAAUCAAGCAUGUUCGUAGUCAUGGAUAGAUUUCUUAUAUGUAACACAUUUUUCAAAUAUCUCAUCCAUGUUCUUAUCCUCACCAUUUUUCUCUAUAAUGGUGUCACACCAAUCCUAUAUAUUGCUUACACCAUAUUAAGAACUUAGUUACAUGAAAUUUUCAUGCUUUGCUUAGAGAUUUCUAGCAUACAAGAUGCUUUGGUAACUUAUUUUAUGCCUUUGAAAAUAUUCACAACUUGGUUGAGUAAUUUAUAGUUCUUGUAAUACUUUAUAGCUUUAUUCAAAAGUGAAUCAUUCUUGAUUUUCCUCUCUAUGUCAAAACAGUCCCCUUCUAAACCUUUUUAUUAUAUGUACCAAUUGGUUCCUUAUUGUUCUUUCGUGCCAAUCAACCAAGCUUGGCUUGGCCCCAUGAGGCUUAGCUAAGCUUGGUGUGGCCACACUUGGCCUCGCGGCCCCAACCACAACAUAGCAACCACAACAUUGGCUUAACGGCCCCGAGUAUAAUAUAACUAUUAAGUUAUUAUAAUUAUACUAUAUACAUACUUAUUUAAGCAAUCAGUUAAUUAAUUUCUCCAAUUGUAUUUCUAGUUUAAACUAUACUACCUAGUACUACCUCAGCCACAGCUCACAGCUGCAGCCUUCCUUGCCGACUGCUGCUGCCCAUAGGCAGCAGCUGCACCUGUUGCAGUACAUGUUACUGCAAUUAGUGGCAGCAGCCCCUUCCCCCUUGAUCUUUGCUUCAAGCCAUUCUACUUCCUAGCUAACUAGUUCAAUCACUAAGAGGCUUUAAUGUGCGAUAGGUAGGGCAACUAACCAAACGCACUGCCUGAAAGCCUAUUAGCAGCUCCCAGCCAUCACCCAUCCUGUCUACUGCUGCUACCUAGGCAACAGCCUUGCUCAUUUGCAUACUAUCAUGCUUCAUCAACUGCAGUAACUAAAUAAAAGGGCAGGGACUUAACUGACUUCUCUUACUUUUAAUCCCAAGCAUGCUAGAUUUUUUUUUCCUGCGUGUUAUGGCAGUCACUGCUGUCAUAGACAGCAGUUCAUAAGCCUUUCCUAGCUCUAUCUUUGUUAUAACUAGAAAUCUUGCAACCAAAGUUAAUCUUGGUCCCCACUUUGCUACCUCAUCCAAAAACCUAUUAUCUUAAUAACUAAAACUAAUAAGAAACCAAAAGAGACAAGUCCCAAAAAAUUUUAUGCCUGUCGCUGCCAUUAGGCAGCAGCCCUGCCUCCUCUAUAUUAUUUUCUAAAAGAGAGCAGUCCAAAAAGUUAUAACACUUUUGAACAAAAGCUUGGUUUUUAUACGAAUCUAGCACAUACAAGUAUGUUUAGAAUUUAUAACACUAUCAUGACUGCCCAAAACAGUGCUUGACAUUCUAAUUUUACUAAUUCUUUAUUUUAACUUGAGACUGAAUUUUAUUUCAUUUUAAGAGGCUUAACUUGCUAAUUAUCGAUACAUGCAAUACAUGAGUAAAUUUCUAGCCUUGUUUGUGCCUACUACUUGACUUUUAAUUAAGGCAGUCCACUUGGGAUUUUCAUCGAGCAGGUGGUGUGCACAGUCCAUAAUCAAUGGUGUCAUAGCUAUUUGUUUGCUCUAUAACUACAUUAGAUCACCUUAUAACACCACGGCCAACCUAUCUCCUUGUGCCUAAGCCAAGCAUUCACAAAAUUUAACAAGAGUUGGCAGGACAGUCAUCAUAAUAACAGCCAUAGCACAGCAGUCACUUAUAGCAGUAGCAUGGCUCAAGAAUGGAAAACAGUCCUUUAAAUUCUUAACACAAGUGUUAUUACAUAAUGUACUUGCUAUAUACUAUACGUUCAUGAUUUAAAGAGCCUAUAUAAAAGACUUCUAGUUUUGAUUUAAAACAGCAUCCCUUGGACCUUAAAUUAAUACAAGGUAGCAUAAGUUGCUCGGAGUUAUAGAUAUCAUGUUAUAGUGUACUUACCAUGUUAGAAACAAAUGAUUGUCAUUACUUAGUCAAGCCUCUCAUAACAGUUAGCAUAGCUCACCAUUUCAGUCCCUUUUUACUUUGUUUUGCUCAAGUGUUACACCAAUACAUGUUAUACAUAGGCAUAAAGUGUAUUUGAAGCAUAGCUACAUUUUAUGUUAGAAUUUAACCACCAUUUUGGACUCCCUUCCCAGCCAUACUAUUUUUGCCAUUAUAACAGUCUUAGACAAGCAAUUUAGGCAAGGUUUAUUACACCAAAUUGUAGAAAGCACUAAUACAUAUGCCUUUCUCACACAUGUAUCUUUUAUCUACCAUCUUUUCAUGUUUUAAAGCAUCUAUCGAGGUCUUUAUGCUUUAGGCUAACACAGCCCUCUUUGGUAUUUAACUUCAAAACAAACAUGGUUUACCAACAUGCUUACAAAGAUAACAUAAGUGUGCAACAUAGAAGCUUAUACUAUCUCCUUUAUAUAGCAUUUAAUAUGCAUAGUGUAUGAUUGGAUGACAUAGAAUAGUUUAUACUAAUUCAGUCAUUAUCAAAACCUCUAGUCUGGCAUACAAAAUCCUUAAAACAAUGGCUCAGUCAUAGUUAAAUGCUUAGUUCAUAUAUGGACUGGUAUACAAUCAGUUAUAACAUCUUAUGUUCAUGUAAAAACUGCCCUCUUAGCACCUUUGUAUCUUUAGGACUUCAAUAUAUAAUAUUGAUAUAGAAUUAGGCUUGACUGCACUCCCUUUUUAAGACAGUUGUUAUCAACAGUUCUCACAAGCAUUUUAUAAAACACAUAAAGUGUAGUUUAUAUAUACUUAUACCUAAUACACAAAUCUUAGCUUAGUGAUCCCAGCCUUAUGGCUUAAAUAAUAACAAACAUAAUGUGCUACAUUACAGUUCCAAAUCACAACAGUACACAUAGCAUAACAAUCCCUUAUGUCUAUUCUAGGCCAUUCGGCCAUAACAGAGCUCAAGUGACACGAAAAUGGACUGGAAAGAGGAUAGAAAAAGUACCUUAAUAACUUAGAGGUUGCAAUUGAUUUCUGCUCAAUUCCUUUUUCUCCUUCUCCAGCCGAAUUCUUCUACUCUGAUAUGUUGAAUUUGGAGAGAGAGAAAGAAUGAGACGGAGACAAAGAAAGAAAAAAAGAAAGAGAACAAUAAUUAAUUUUCUAGUGUCCUUUAUUGGGUUUCAUGUGGCUGUAUUUAUAGCCAAAAUAGCAUAUGGGUGCACAACGUGCAGCAACUAAAAUAGAGGAAAACACAGUAAACAAAGUAGUAGCUAAAAAAUAGGAACAAAUAGCAGUAGACUAGGUAAACAGAAACUACUUUUGCUAAAGAACAGGAACUGCAGCUGGACUUCUUCAAUAGGUGCUUACUAUGCAGCUUCUAGGUGAGGG